UACGGAGGGUGCGAGCGUUGUUCGGAAUCACUGGGCGUAAAGCGCGUGUAGGCGGCCUUCUAAGUCCGAUGUGAAAGCCCGGGGCUCACCCCCGGAAGUGCAUCGAAUACUGGGAGACUAGAGUACCGGAGAGGAAAGUGGAAUUCCUGGUGUAGCGGUGAAAUGCGUAGAUAUCAGGAGGAACACCGGUGGCGAAGGCGGCUUUCUGGACGGAUACUGACGCUGAGACGCGAAAGCGUGGGGAGCAAACAGG
rnacentral:rRNA from 1 species